AACGCAUCUUGCACUCCAUGGUAUUCCGUGGAGUAUGUCUGUCUGAGUGUCAUGAAACUCUCAACCCUCUCACCUUUGUCUACUUAGGUGCUUGGGCUUGGAUCAUGAGUGCCUGCUGGACUUAUGAAUCAGCUCACUCUAAAUGCAUUAGCGGUUUGCUUGCCUUAUCUCUAUAGCUAGAGCCAGCAUAAUAGUAUUUAUUUGCUGGGGAGUUGUAGGGGUAACAGUUUGCUUACUGCUUUACUAGCCAUAUAUUCUAAGUGUUUGGCCUCAGAUCAGGCAGGACUACCCGCUGAACUUAA
rnacentral:misc_RNA from 1 species